GCGAACGCUGGCGGCAGGCCUAACACAUGCAAGUCGAACGGAUCCUUCGGGAUUAGUGGCGGACGGGUGAGUAACACGUGGGAACGUGCCUUUUGGUUCGGAAUAGCUCCUGGAAACGGGUGGUAAUGCCGAAUGUGCCCUUCGGGGGAAAGAUUUAUCGCCAUAUGGAGGGGUCUGCGUCGGAUUAGCUUGUUGGUGGGGUAACGGCCUACCAAGGCGACAAUCCGUAGCUGGUCUGAGAGGAUGAUCAGCCACACUGGGACUGAGACACGGCCCAGACUCCUGCGGGAGGCAGCAGUGGGGAAUAUUGCGCAAUGGGGGAAACCCUGACGCAGCGACGCCGCGUGGGUGAAGAAGGCCUUAGGGUUGUAAAGCCCUUUCAGUGGGAAAGAUUGUGACGGUACCCACAGAAGAAGCUCCGGCUAACUCCGU
rnacentral:rRNA from 1 species